rnacentral:rRNA from 1 species
UGGGGAAUAUUGCACAAUGGGCGCAAGCCUGAUGCAGCCAUGCCGCGUGUGUGAAGAAGGCCUUCGGGUUGUAAAGCACUUUCAGCGAGGAGGAAGGUGGUGAGCUUAAUACGCUCAUCAAUUGACGUUACUCGCAGAAGAAGCACCGGCUAACUCCGUGCCAGCAGCCGCGGUAAUACGGAGGGUGCAAGCGUUAAUCGGAAUUACUGGGCGUAAAGCGCACGCAGGCGGUUUGUUAAGUCAGAUGUGAAAUCCCCGGGCUCAACCUGGGAACUGCAUUUGAAACUGGCAAGCUAGAGUCUCGUAGAGGGGGGUAGAAUUCCAGGUGUAGCGGUGAAAUGCGUAGAGAUCUGGAGGAAUACCGGUGGCGAAGGCGGCCCCCUGGACGAAGACUGACGCUCAGGUGCGAAAGGCGUGGGGAGCAAACAGAUUAGAUACCCUGGUAGUCCACGCUGUAAACGAUGUCGAUUUUGGAGGUUGUG